AGGUCCUAUGUGCGAUGAAGAUUCUACGGAAAGAUGAAAUCUGGGAGGAAGAACCAGAAUUUAAGGGUGUGGAGGCGCGGCCAUUCGAGAUGUCCUUCUUGGAGCGGCAUCCCCCUCACGUGCUCCUUGUCGGGGCUACGGGAGCCGUUGCCGCAUCCAGCGUUGCUUGUGUGGUGGGCUACUGCGUAUGGAAAGCAGUCACCGCCAUGCGGAGCUCAUAGACCAUCCAGCUGAGAAGCAUUCUCAAAUGCGUACGGGUUCUUCCUCAGAAGGGCCUUAUCCACAGAUGGCGAAUUCACCGCUGAAUAUGCACUACCGCAGAGCAUUAGACCUCAGCAAUAGUACGCACGUCACCGCAACAGUCUAUUAAUAAGGCUCUCAAAAGUACUCUCUUGUUCGAGUCAGAUUUGCGAUGCCACUCUGACGUCAGAGGCGCAUGGAUGGAUACGAGGUGGCGUCUAACGUGCGACGGGUCUGACGUAGCUUCUCAUGCUGCUGAAAUUUCGAGGUACCGGUAAAAGAGUUCUUCGACGUGGUUGCUGGUACCGCUGACGGCGUACCAGACCUAGUGCAGCGUCGCCCCGCGUGAAAGAGAAGGCUCGACCACACGCUUGCCGGUUUACUACCCUACGCAAAUGACGCCACUGACAAAAUCUCAAAGCUGCUUCCGAAAAGACGCCUUGUUCUUCGUGGAACAGAGGGUACGAAAAUUUGGCUUUGCUAGAACCACGGAGUUAACGCGGAGCCAUUUUCUCCUGGAGCACUGCGAACCGGUUGUGCGCAAAAGUGGUGGUGCCAGUAGAGUAGGCAUCGCUUUGGCAUUCCAUGUCCGACCAUGCUAUAACUUUUUUAUUAAUAUUGUAUUUUUCAUAUGCUAAUUGCGCAUUAAGGUGCACGUCAUGUUUCAUCGCUUUGUAUUGCAAAGAUUGCUUACCUUCCAUAUCAUUUGUUGAUGAAAUAAAUGUUUUAUUUUUCAAA